GUGCGUAGGCGGCUUCUUAAGUCGGAUGUGAAAUCCCUGAGCUUAACUUAGGAAUUGCAUUCGAUACUGGGAAGCUAGAGUAUGGGAGAGGAUGGUAGAAUUCCAGGUGUAGCGGUGAAAUGCGUAGAUAUCUGGAAGAACACCGAUGGCGAAGGCAACCUCCUGGGCCUGUUUUGACGCUGAGGCACGAAAGCGUGGGUAGCAAACAGGAUUAGAUACCCUGGUAGUCCACGCCCUAAACGAUGAUUACUCGACAUUAGCGAUAUACUGUUAGUGUCUGAGCGAAAGCAUUAAGUAAUCCACCUGGGAAGUACGACCGCAAGGUUGAAACUCAAAGGAAUUGACGGGGACCCGCACAAGCGGUGGAGCAUGUGGUUUAAUUCGAA
rnacentral:rRNA from 1 species